GUUACGCUAUAAUGGUGGGGCUAACAGUAGGUGGUGAAAGAAACCAUGGACGGCAGAGUGGGGAAGAGAAUAUCUCAGUAGUGAAAUAAUGGGUCGCAGGAAGGGACGGUACUCAAAACUGUCACCGUACGCCAUUGGCAGAAAUCCUAUGGGGCGAGGCAUCGCCACAUGGAUCGUAAAAGGCGGCCAUCAUGGAUUUCAACAUGGCUUCUACUAGUACCUUACCCUUGAAAUCUUCAAGUUCUUACAUUAGAAACGUAAAGCAAAGGUCAUCGUUCACCUGUUCAUAAGGUCAAUAGGUAAUGUGAUAACGACCAUUCAUAAUGGUUACGGACGAAGGAAUUACCGUGCAAACCGACACUUAAGCUUUAUCGUGUCUCUUACCGCGAAGUUAUGUAUACUGUUCUCUUAAAA